rnacentral:rRNA from 1 species
AACAGGAUUAGAUACCCUGGUAGUCCACGCCGUAAACGAUGUCGACUUGGAGGUUGUGCCCUUGAGGCGUGGCUUCCGGAGCUAACGCGUUAAGUCGACCGCCUGGGGAGUACGGCCGCAAGGUUAAAACUCAAAUGAAUUGACGGGGGCCCGCACAAGCGGUGGAGCAUGUGGUUUAAUUCGAUGCAACGCGAAGGACCUUACCUACUCUUGACAUCCAGAGAACUUAGCAGAGAUGCUUUGGUGCCUUCGGGAACUCUGAGACAGGUGCUGCAUGGCUGUCGUCAGCUCGUGUUGUGAAAUGUUGGGUUAAGUCCCGCAACGAGCGCAACCCUUAUCCUUUGUUGCCAGCGGUUAGGCCGGGAACUCAAAGGAGACUGCCAGUGAUAAACUGGAGGAAGGUGGGGAUGACGUCAAGUCAUCAUGGCCCUUACGAGUAGGGCUACACACGUGCUACAAUGGCAUAUACAAAGAGAAGCGACCUCGCGAGAGCAAGCGGACCUCAUAAAGUAUGUCGUAGUCCGGAUUGGAGUCUGCAACUCGACUCCAUGAAGUCGGAAUCGCUAGUAAUCGUGGAUCAGAAUGCCACGGUGAAUACGUUCCCGGGCCUUGUACACACCGCCCGUCACACCAUGGGAGUGGGUUGCAAAAGAAGUAGGUAGCUUAACCUUCGGGAGGGCGCUUACCACUUUGUGAUUCAUGACUGGGGUGAAGUCGUAACAAGGUAACC